AAACCUUGGAACUGAAACAAGCAUGUAGCUCAUCUUUGAUGCCUCAGCAUGGAGUAGAAACACUGGGAGACCUUGAAAGCAGCCACAAAUUUAUAUUUGCAUCUAAGAGGGAGGUACCCUGUCAGUGCAGAACUUUCUGGAAGCUGCUUUUUUAGAGCCAUUAGUUCUUGAUGCUUGUAGGCUACACUAGGCCUUCAUUCAAAAAGCAGGAAGUUUCAAAGUCAACCCUGGCAUAAUCUUUUGGGAAGUGGGAGAAAAU
rnacentral:lncRNA from 1 species